rnacentral:rRNA from 1 species
UAAGCGGAGGAAAGAAACUACAAGGAUUCCCCUAGUAACUGCGAGUGAAGCGGGAAAAGCUCAAAUUUAAAAUCUGGUGGUCUUUGGCCAUCCGAGUUGUAAUCUAGAGAAGCGUCUUCCGCGCUGGACCGUGCACAAGUCUCCUGGAACGGAGCGUCGUAGAGGGUGAGAAUCCCGUCUUUGGCAUGGACACACCAGGGCUUUUGUGAUGCGCUCUCGAAGAGUCGAGUUGUUUGGGAAUGCAGCUCAAAAUGGGUGGUGAACUCCAUCUAAAGCUAAAUAUUGGCGAGAGACCGAUAGCGAACAAGUACCGUGAGGGAAAGAUGAAAAGCACUUUGGAAAGAGAGUGAAACAGUACGUGAAAUUGUUGAAAGGGAAACGCUUGAAGUCAGUCGCGUCGACCGAGACUCAGCCUCGCCUCGGCUUGGCGUACUUCUCGGCCCGACGGGUCAGCAUCAAUUUCGCCUCUUGGAUAAUGGCGAGGGAAACGUGACACCUUUACGGUGUGUUAUAGUCUCUCGUCGCAUGCAAGGGUCGGGAUUGAGGAACUCAGCACGCGCCUUUGGGCGUCGGGGCUUUGCCUACGAUACGUGCUUAGGAUGUUGGCGUAAUGGCUUUAAACGACC